UACGUAGGGGGCUAGCGUUGUCCGGAUUUAUUGGGCGUAAAGAGCGUGUAGGCGGCCAGAUAGGUCUGCUGUGAAAACUCGAGGCUCAACCUCGAGAUGUCGGCGGAAACCAUUUGGCUAGAGUCCGGAAGAGGAAAGUGGAAUUCCUGGUGUAGCGGUGAAAUGCGCAGAUAUCAGGAGGAACACCGGUGGCGAAGGCGGGUCUCUGGGCCGAAACUGACGCUGAGGAGCGAAAGCGUGGGGAGCAAACAGG
rnacentral:rRNA from 1 species